UACUGAGCAUCUUUUCCUGUGCUUAUUGGCCAUUCGUGUAUCUUCUUUGGAGAAAUGUCUAUUCGAAUUCUUUACCCACUUUUUAAUUGGGAUUUUGGUCUUUGUUACCUACUUUUUUUAGUGCUACUAUAUCUUGAAUAUUUUCAUUCCUUUAGCAGUUUCUCAAACUUAGCAUUUAAUGACUGCUUAAUAUUUCAUUGCAUGAUUGUUUUGUUACGUAUUUAACCAAACAGCCACUGCAGAGCUCAGAAUGCUGAGCACGUCUGCUUCUGCGUACUGCCCCACCCCCGUAUCUCAAUCAGCUUCACCUCUUCCAGUUUCUCAGAGCUGUGUGGGAGCUCAGGUCUUUGUAAGUUCAGAGGUGGGGACAUGUGGGGACGUGGCAGAAGCCUUACUGGGUGCAGUACUGAUGAUCGCACCCUCUCAGAAGAACUUGUAUAAGGGUGGGAUACUAAAACCUCACAGGAUCACGGUCUUUAUCAAAUUUUUAAGUUGAAAAUAGGAUCUCUGGAGCUUUUUUGUUCCCUCAGUGCGACCCUCUAAGGAGGCUGAAGUGUUUGAAUUUAUGAGGGAGCUGUUUGAGAUUUGGCGAUUCUUCUGCUCUGUUUUGCUUCCAGUAUCAUCCUCUUGGUCCCUUGGCUGGCUUUCUUUGGCUCUUCUUGUGCGGGACCUUUCUGCCCGUCUAAGCACAGGACUGUAGCUGAGUUUGUCCAUAGCCACAGCAUGCCUCAGUUCCAUUUCUUUCCUGUGCAGGUUUUUCUGUUUCCAGGCCAGGUGCAGUUCCUGAGUUGGAACAAGGAGUCCAGGCCUGGUAAACGCUGUUCCAACUUCUUUCGCUCAAGAUGAAAUUGGCCCGUUCCUGAACUUCGUGUGAAUGGAAUCUCUCGUAUCUGCUGCCUUUUGUCCAGAAUUGUACUUUUGAGAUUCAUCCAUGUUGUUUUGUGAAUCGGUAGGUCCCCCCCCCCCAUUGUUGUGUAGUCUUCCAUUGUAUGACCGUACCACAGUUUGUUUAUUCAUUCUCCUGAUGAUGGGUUGUUUCCAGUAUUUGACUAUUAUGAAUAAAACAUUCUAAAACGUU